GAUGAAGAACGUAGCAAAAUGCGAUAAGUAAUGUGAAUUGCAGAAUUCAGUGAAUCAUCGAAUCUUUGAACGCACAUUGCGCCCGCCAGUAUUCUGGCGGGCAUGCCUGUUCGAGCGUCAUUUCAACCCUCAAGCACAGCUUGGUGUUGGGACUCGCGUUAAUUCACGUUCCCCAAAUUGAUUGGCGGUCACGUCGAGCUUCCAUAGCGUAGUAGUAAAACCCUCGUUACUGGUAAUCGUCGCGGCCACGCCGUUAAACCCCAACUUCUGAAUGUUGACCUCGGAUCAGGUAGGAAUACCCGCUGAACUUAAGCAUAUCAAUAAGCGGAGGA
rnacentral:misc_RNA from 1 species